rnacentral:rRNA from 1 species
AUACGGAGGGUGCGAGCGUUAAUCGGAAUUACUGGGCGUAAAGCGUACGUAGGCGGUUGGUUAAGUUAGAUGUGAAAGCCCCGGGCUUAACCUGGGAACUGCAUUUAAAACUGGCGAACUAGAGUUGAGUAGAGGGGAGUGGAAUUUCAGGUGUAGCGGUGAAAUGCGUAGAGAUCUGAAGGAACACCAGUGGCGAAGGCGACUCCCUGGACUCGAACUGACGCUGAGGUACGAAAGCGUGGGUAGCAAACGGAAUUAGAUACCCUAGUAGUCC